UAACCUUUAGCAUUAACACGACAGCUACGAAAAGAGAGAAAAUAGUAAAAAACGCAUCGGCAAUUCGCAGAGUGGCCGCUAGCAGAACGGAAGCGGCGGGCGACGGAAGAGGGAGGUUUUCUCUUUGACCUAAAUGGCCGUGCAGUUGGCCGGUGGCCAGUUCCCUGUGUCCGUGCACUCGGCAUCCAAGCCUUUACUUAUAUUUUUCGAUAUCAAUUUUCCCAGGACCGAUAAAUUAAUCGGUUGCCAGUGGCGACCGCUCGUUGCUUCCUGCUCGUAAAAUGUUUACGCGCGUCGCCAACGCUACAGGAGAAUUAAAUUUCCCUUUAUGCUUGUACGGAGGAGGUUGUGCAACCUGCGAGAAACGAGGUAAACGAAUGGGCCGCUGUAAACAUAGAAACGCGACGCGACAGUGCAGCAGCAGUUACAUGUACCGCGCUCAUGAAUUUUCUGUUUCUUCUAUUUGUAAUUUCUGUCUCGGUCGUCUGUGCAUUAAUAUUUUCAUAAAGUAUGUUAUUUCGGAGUUUUGAUGAAUUGCUCGACGCGCUAAGAGGAGAGAAUUUAGUUUAGUUUAUUUAAGGACUUACUUAAUCGUAUUUUAUCUUUCAUUAAUUUUCUUAUCGCGUUCGUCAUUAGUUUCAGUUGCAUUGUUUUUCUGAGCAAUUUAGAUUACGUAAAAAAGGAUUUACCGUUAUUAUCCCGUUAUUAAAGCCACUGAUUUGUCUUGUAUAUUAAUGAUAACUAUUAACAUGUUUUGAAAAGGCGCGUUAAAUUCCGCGCGAAAUUAUUGCGAAACAGCGCCAGCCAAUCAGAGCGCGUUCUUAAGUUCGACGGGGCCCGUGACGUCACUUUCACAUAACGCUCGGCAAGUACUGAGUAACACGGAAUUUCGUAUUCUUUUAUGAUUUUGUUCAAAUUUUUCUAUCAAAUUCGAGUGAUUUGUCGCGAAGGUAGUGUUGCAUAGUGAAAAUGGAAUCCGGAAUCAGCUGUGACGACCCGCAGUUCAUGAAUAUAUUGGAAACCUGUUUGUGUGUAGAAAUUGAAGCAGCCAAGGGCACGUCCUCUGAAGUUGCAAAUGAAAUAAAAGAAUUGAAGACCAAGGUGCAGACACAAUUGCAAACGAGAAAGGAGUUGAAAGAAACGGCAAAGAACACGGAGAAUAAUAUUGUGAUUUUAACUAACAUUUUAAACAAGUACGUAAGGUAAUCGGAUCAACGCUACUUUGAUCUAUUCAUUAGGUGUAUCAUAUUGAAAACUCGUUCAUAGGCACAAUAAAUACAUUAACGAAAUUUCUAAUAAAAUCGAGCUAAUGAAACUUAAUUUGGAUAACGACUACAAAGUCAUGGAAUUGGACUGUGGACAAUAUGAGAGUAUUUACAACGAAUACGAAAGAGUAUGGGAAUCAUACCACGCAAAAUACGAAGAAUUUCCUUUGGCCAAGGUGAGGAAAGAAAACAAGGCAAAAUUAGAGAAGCUUCGAAUUGAUAAAAUGGUGGUGGAAUAUAAGAUCAACGAGUUAGAGAAAAUUUUGAAGCAGAGAGAGCGGAUUACGUGGCUGAGAAUGCGCGCGAAAAUCGUCGAGCUUGCGCGCGCAAUUUUAGACCAUAUGGGACUCGACAAAGAAUGGGAAGAUCUUAAUCGAAGUAUCGAAGCACGCGAGAAGGAGUUGAAUACGAUCAAGACGGAGCUAGCUGUACAGUUGAAGAGGCAGGAGGAAGAGAAGAGAGAUCGAACGUUGAAGUUGCUGGAAAUGCCACCGCCAAAGAUUAAUUUCUCUCACAUGCGCAAGAUUUACCAUGGGUCGAGGAUCGGCUCGCACAGUGGCUGGGAAAAAAAUUAUGAGAAUUCCAUAGAUUCCCUAUCAGUGGAUACCUUGAUGUUGGAAGAAAUGUGUCUAUCAGAAGGUAACAGCGUACAAUCGCCGUCAAAAAUUACAAUCCAUAUCGGGGAAGAUCAGAGUAUUCCUCAUGACCGUCCGAUCGAUUCAAAGAGUCCUCCCCUGGACCAGGGACAGCAGGAAAUAGAGCACGAGGAUGUAGCAAGCGAGGUGGACGAAAUCUCGGUUUCAGAACCGAUCGAUGCAGUCGAGGAGGAAGUGGAACAAGGAAUGGGCCAGGAACUGGAGCACAUGGACCAGCCAUCCGAUCUUUCGAAAGAUAAGCACACAAGCCAACGUUGCGAGGAUCUUGAGGAGGAAAUGGAUGAUCCCGUAGCGAAGAAAAUGAGAUUGAUCUUGGAUGAAGGGAAGUUUGUGGCGACACCAAUGAAGAUUAUUCCAUUGGAGAAAACGAAGAGUCGUUCGGUUGAUCCAUCCCCUCGUGCAAGAAUCGCAAGGAUUGAGACAGUUCGCUACAAUAUGUCUCCGAUGACCAAAAUAGAGAAAACAAAUAAUGAUUUAGUCGGGCCAAGGAAAAGUCAGUUGACAAAUCAAUUUGUUGAAUCAAUGAUGACGAAGACGCCUUCGGCAAAGAAGCCUGAUCAAGACAAACCCAACCCCUCCAGUAUGUUUACUCCUCGUCACUACGAUUUCUCUGAUACCAGUGACAUGAGUUUCUGUAUGGAUAACAAUAUGAACACUCUGAAAGCUGAUCAAAUAUCGUUGUACGGAGGGUCUGUUCGAGAUUUCUGCGAGUGUUCCAACAUAUCCAGGGCCAUCGAGGACGCAAUCCCAGAGAGCAGCGCAAACGAUCCAUCGACUAGCAAGACUUACAAUUUGCCACAAUUCGAUUUCAGUAACAUUCUGAAACGUAACUCCAGCGGAAAGAAUCUCUUCUAAAUCCGAGCCGUCUCGAAGAAAGUCGAUGUUCAUUUAAAAGUUCUGUAUUUGUUGUAAAACCUCGUUUGGACGAAAUAAAAUCGCGUGAAGCGAA